rnacentral:tRNA from 1 species
AUCUAUAUAGUAUAAAGUAUAUAUGACUUCCAAUCAUAAGGCCUAUAAAUAAAGUAGUUUAGAUA